UACAGAGGUCCCGAGCGUUGUUCGGAUUCAUUGGGCGUAAAGGGUGCGUAGGCGGUCUGCUAAGUUUGGUGUGAAAUCCCGGGGCUCAACCCUGGAAUGGCAUUGAAUACUGGCGGACUAGAGUACCGGAGAGGAAACUGGAAUUUACGGUGUAGCAGUGAAAUGCGUAGAGAUCGUAAGGAAGACCAGUGGCGAAGGCGAGUUUCUGGACGGUAACUGACGCUGAGGCACGAAGGCCGGGGGAGCAAACGGG
rnacentral:rRNA from 1 species